rnacentral:rRNA from 1 species
AAUGAACGUUGGCGGCGUGGAUUAGGCAUGCAAGUCGAGCGCUCAUAGCAAUAUGGGAGCGGCGAACGGCGUAGUAAGACGUAGGAACGUACCCUCGGGUCGGGGAUAGCUAUGGGAAACUGUAGGUAAUACCCGAUAAUCUCUGCGGAGCAAAGGUGUGAUUCCGCCUGAGGAGCGGCUUACGCGAUAUUAGCUAGUUGGUGGGGUAAUGGCCUACCAAGGCGAUGAUGUCUAGGGGGGUGUGAGAGCAUGGGCCCCCCACGACCGGAACUGAGAUACUGUCCGGACACCUACGGGUGGCUGCAGUCGAGAAUCUUCCGCAAUGGACGAAAGUCUGACGGAGCGACGCCGCGUGCGGGAUGAAGGCCCUUGGGUUGUAAACCGCUGUCAGAGGGGAUGAAAUCUUCGGAGGUACUCCUCCGAAGUUGACAGAGCCUCAAAGGAAGCACGGGCUAAGUACGUG